rnacentral:lncRNA from 1 species
UAAUUACAGUCAAACCGGAUGUUCUCUUGCAAGCAACAUUGCAAUAUUGUCUCACAAUAUUGCAAUAUUGAUAGGGAGAUUGCUCUGAGCAAUUUGCAAGCGAGACGAACAAAUUGCAAGUUGAAAUUCACAAAAGAUUUGUAAACAAAGCCUGUGAUUGGACUAUAAGAAAAAGGGAAGCACCAAUCCAAUUGCUCAGACUAUUUGAUUGGCUUCCUUUUUACUAAUAGUCCAAUCA